rnacentral:misc_RNA from 1 species
UCUCCUCUUUCUUAAUCUAUAAUAAUAAUGUUUAACCUAGCUGUCACAAGAAAUGUUCAAAUGAAUCUUGGAAAUACCCUGCAUGAUAACCUGCCUGAAGAUCAACAAAUUUCGACAUUAGUUUCUCUUACAUGUGCCUUAAAAAUAUAACUGUGUAGGCGAUUUUAAAUAAUUGGUAAGGAGUGAUGAUGAUUCAAAAACCACAAACUAGGCAGAAAAUCUGGUGCAUUUAUUGAAAACAAAGUAGAGAAGUUUCAGUUUGUCACUCUUAUGGACGCGCUCGGAUGGUUCGUAAUUGGCUCAGAAGGAUAUGCAGUAAGAGCCGAGUCGGACGACGAGAAUUUUGUCAUUUACCUCACUGAUAUGACUUCAAUUUGGUGUGAACGACAAACAGCUACUGAGAUUAUGAAACGGUGUCAGGAAUUAAACCCUUUAAUCGAGUCGACAGUAAAACAUCUGAUCCAACAACUUCGCACAUUGCUAAAUAGCUAUUCGCAGAGUAAUAGUCUAACGAUAGUUUCAGUUGAUCAAAACAUCACGUUGAAACUAGAAUCUCACUUGGACGGUAAUCUACCCUUUUCUUGGGAAUUUCAUUUGACUUUGGAAACCGCUGAUCAGUUUCAAUCUUUUAUAAUUCGUCCAUUGUUGGCAAUGCUUAAAGAAGCAGCUUGCGUUGAAGAAGAGCUUUGCAACAUCAUCCGAAGCAAAGAUAAGCAAAUUGACGACUACAAAGCUUCAGGUGCAACCGUAUCCCGCCGUCACUUGGAAACCAAAGAAUUCAAUGCGGAAACAUUCUUCGCUUCACGUAUAACGCGCACUAUUGAAGAGAGCGCCAAAGAAAAAAUUACAUCUCUGUUCUGUAGAGUUGUUGAUAGAUUAAAACAGUUGUAUUCGGUUGCUGUCGAAAGGAUUUAUUUCCAAAGUUCAAUAGCACGUCGCUCAGCUUUAACUGUUUCAGACGUAUCUGCCGAAUUGACAGAAGAGAUUCCGAACAGAGGACAAACUUCAACACAAUCACCAGCCAAAGUUAAAAGCCAAAUUAAAACCAUUAAAAUCAUCAUGAUUCCAACACAUUAUUUUUGUUCCAGGAGAGUGAAGAGAGUCGAUCAGAAGCCAUUAAAAAGCGAUUACGUGAAGAAGAACAGAAAGAGAUGGCCAAAAGAGCUAAAAAGGCGUGUUCAGCAAAAAUAUUGUAAAAUUCCUGCAUCUUACUCUUUGACACAGAUUUGGUUAACAGAAAUAGCAGAUCUAAUCUAGCAAUUCACAUCUAACAAGAGAUGUACGCUCAAGAUUUUCUGGGAGUGGAGUACUAAAGCGAGUGACCAUCGACGUAGUAAUUCACGUGCUGUCGACGACCGUCAGGCUGAGAUAAUUCGUUUUCAAGAAAUUGAACCUUCUUCAUCCCCUUAAACCGAAUCAAAGAACUGCAAUGUCCCAAAGGGUAUUCUCUUUAGCAGAUGACUUCCCCUUGGCGUCUAAUCUUAGGAAUCAGAAAGUAUAAUUGCAUUUCUAAAUGUCAAAAUAUAUACGUGUACUUGCGGACCCGCCCAAUUUGGCAUAUUAAUAGAGCUUUCUCCCAAGAGUUUGUAUGGAUUAAUCAGCUGG